UAUUCUACAUCUCACAAAAAAAAAACUCUCUUCCAUAAUUUACCCCAAUCUCUUUAUCAUCAACUUUUCCCCCCAUUUUCCCGUAAUUUACUUACCCCAAUCUCUUUAUCAUCAACUUUUUUCCUCCUUUUUCCCUUAAUUUACUCUCCAAUCCCACUUUUCUCCAAUAUCUAGGAAAUUACAUCUCACAAUAUCUUCCUCUCUUCCGUAAAUUUCUCCCCUAUUUGCUCCCACUAAACAACCGAUUUAUCCUCCAUUUCUGAAUCCCCAUUUUCAUGCCCAAAUUCAAGUUAUCCUAAUCGAGUAAAUUCUUCCGGAUUAGGUUACCCACAUUUGGACUUUGACGUUUCACACCCACAUUUCAAGAAGCAAAACAUACUAGACCGAUGAGGGACUGUGGGGUCUUCGUCUGCGCCUAUGCAAAAAUAUUAAGUAAAGGGCAUCAAAUUCAUUCAUGUGGGUUUGAUGCUGCAAUUCAACGUGUUCGCUAUGCUUCAUUACUGUGGCAUUACGAAGUGGAAAAGGCAAACUAAGGGUACACGAGUGACAAUGGCGAUCCUCCUCGGCCAAGGAGGAUUGUUCUCGAUGAAAUUGAUCCUGAUGCAAUUGUUACUUUAGAGUAGCAUUGUUUUAGAAAAACUAAUUCUUAGUUUUGUGGUUGAUAUUAAACAAUUCCAACUAUACUUUGUUGAUGUAAAUGCACAUUUUAUGGAUGUCCUCUUUUUUUUUUUUUUUGAAAAAAAAAAUUUGCAGUUUAUGACAUAAAUACUAUAAUGUUACCAGCUAA